rnacentral:rRNA from 1 species
GACGUAGGGCGCGAGCGUUGUCCGGAUUUAUUGGGCGUAAAGAGCUCGUAGGCGGCUUGUCGCGUCGAAUGUGAAAACCCACGGCUCAACUGUGGGCUUGCAUUCGAUACGGGCAGGCUAGAGUUCGGUAGGGGAGACUGGAAUUCCUGGUGUAGCGGUGAAAUGCGCAGAUAUCAGGAGGAACACCGGUGGCGAAGGCGGGUCUCUAGUACGGUACUGACGCUGAGACGCGAAAGCGUGGGGAGCGAACAGG